rnacentral:ncRNA from 2 species
UAAGAUGAAGCAGCAGCCGGUUCUGAUGGGAAACAGCCAUUUGACGCAAGGGGGAAAGUUUGGUGCAAGUCCAACGCUGUCCCGCAACUGUGAUGAGAUGCCUUGACAUCUUUAAGUCAGGAUGCCCGCCGCCUGUGACAUUCGCCC